CACUUUAUUAAAUACGGAAUUUAAAGUUCCGUAUCAAUACGGAAAAUAAAAUUCCGUAUCUGUUUUAGUAUAUAAUGAGUGGUUGAAAAUGUGACACGCAUGCUUAAAUACAGUACGGAAUUUUAAGUUCCGUAUUCAAUAGGGAGAAUACGGAAUUUUAAAUUCCGUAUUUGAUAAAGUGGGGUGCCAAGCCCCAUAGGUGGGGUGCCAAACCCAACUCCCCUCCCCUGUCUCUACCAGGCUCUGCAACACGACCACAUCAUCAUCAUGCCUGGUGCUGCAACAACCAAACCCAAAUGAAAAUACAUCAUCACCCUAACAGAUUAGAGAGUUGGGGUGAAGCUUUGAUCUCAGACCUACAAUUUGCGUCAUUGGCACAGCUGUAAUGUCUUUUUUUGUAGCUGAAAGAAAAAUCCCUGCUCCAUCAGAAGCAACCCUCACAAAAUUAGAGCACCGCAAGGGUAUGGGGCUUCAAAGGUCCACAAGUGCCUCAGCAUGAUGCAUCCCUGCCAUAAUAUUAAGUGUUUGAAUUUAAACUUGAUGAUUUGGUGAAUCUUGACUUGAUGGUUUGGCUCCCUAACUUACAUGACUACAAUUUUGUGGUAGCAUGGUCUAUGUGUUGUCUUUUGAUAAGUCACCUUUAGAUUUCUGGGUUUCUUAUAGUCUGUUGACAAAUAUUUAGAAUAGCUACCCGAGUGUAGAACAAUAGUUUGUUUUUAUAACUGAUAUUGAUCAUUUAAUCACGACAUUAUAUAUUUAUAUUCCACUAUUCUCUUUAUUUGAGCAUCAUAAGUCAAGACUUGACAACACAACAAAUGAACCUCUAUUUACAAAUGUCAGUAGAGAUUUUAUGGACACUCUUUACUUUACACAGGUGAGCUAUCUUGCAAUGUUUCAUCGUUCGCUAAAUUUAACUUAACUGUCGUUCCUUUUCUUUUCUUUUUUGUUUCAACUGAUUCGUUGGUUGUGAAGUCAUAUUGGAGUUAUUGGAUGAGGAGAGUUUGAGGAAAGAUACAGCUCUUCAUUCUCUUGAAUGGUCCUCAGAUCAUAUAGCUCUCUUAGCAGAGUUUUGUUGCAAGAGUAUAUUUCGGCCUUGACCCAUUAGUUUUAUUAGGUAUCAGCAUUGCCCCAAUGUCCUUUUUCCAAUAUAUAUCUUCUUAUUCUUAUUUUAUACCUUAUUGGCAUUAGUUUAUUGAAAGUUUGGCUUCGUAUUUAGAAGUUCAUUAUUGAGAUAUGAGAGGUUAGUAACUCUAGGCACAUGCAAAAAAAAGUCAAUUGAUAAUCUGCACAAGGUUAUUAUUGAGAGGUAGGUGUGGAACUAACAUGUUUUGGACUACAAAACAUCUUAUCAAAGGGAGCAUAUAAGCCAUAGUAAAAAGUAAUUGGGAAAAUGUUGCAUGUAACCUACUAUAAAUAUGUUUUUGUUGGGUUGGUUUCCUACUGUCUAAAGUGUGAGUAGUUCUGAUAACUGGGGGUGGUUUUCUUUGUUUUGAAUUUGUUGAAUCAGUUGUGUUGAAUUAUAGAAAUGGUUGAGAUGUCUGGACUUCUUGAUUUAUUAUAGCUGUAAUAACCAAAGUUAUUUGUCUUAAAGAUUAUCUUAUUCUUCUUAGGUCCAAGCGUAUGUUAUUUCACCACAAGAAGAGCUAAGGUUUGCAAGGGUUAGUAAAAAGCUACUUAGAGUAGUUGGAAGAAAAUGGAAGAAGAAGAAGAAGAAUGAUUUACAAACUAUAUGGAGAGUCAGUGCAUUUCACUGAGCAGCCAAAUAGCCAAUACAAGUUUCUCAUUAUUCACUACAACAAAAAUUACAUUUAGCGACAAUCUUGUAGUGACAAAAGUUUCACCGGAAAGUCUCUGUUUCCCUCUUCCUCGCCCUUACUUUCAUACGUUGAGGUUCAGAAGAAGCAGAUGGCGAAGCCAAUUGGAACAGAGCCAAUUCGCAUACUUAGCUCUCCAUUCUCGUUCAGUUGCUUGAUUCGCGUUCUAGGUUCUCGUUCACUCGUGCUCACUCUCUGGAUCUUUGUUUGCUCCAGAUCUUUCAAGAUCUCCAAUGGAACAUGAUGCUUAUGAGAGGAUGCAGCAAGUGAUGGAUUAUGUGAAGAAGGGAGUUCUAAACCACAUGAAGUGAAGCUUAUGGAGCAAGUCUUUUCCUUACUAGGUUUUCCCAAGGGGGUUUUAUCCUAGUAAGGUUUUAACGAGGCUUAUUUUGUUAAGUCUUUUUUCAAAGAGGUAUUAGGUGGGGUAGUCUCGGCAUUAGUAGGAUCUUUGUGUUGCUCUUGUUUUUGCUUUUUCGCUAUCUUUUCUCCUCUCUUUUUGUAUUGGGUUGAAGUACCCCUUGUACUUCUAUUCAAUAUAUUUCUAACUGCUUAUCAAAAAAAAAAAUGGAGCAAGUCUUUUCAAUUUUCAUUGAUGAUUAUUCCUAUUCUUCUGAUUCCCUACCUUCAACUUCUCUCAGAUGGAACCCUUCUUUCUGUGGAUUUCUUGCAAUUGGGGGGGUGCUUUCUAUGCUAGUAUGUUUACCAUUUAGGUUAAAAUUGCUCCUGUAUAUUUAUAGUUGUUUCAUAGUUUCAGUUUCUUGAAUUUUUGUCUCUUGCCAUGAUUAUGUUCUUUUGCAUGUUAUACUUAGACAGUUGGGUCAACUUAGCAAUAAACAAUUCUUGAUUGAUGAAUUUGAAAUUGAAUGUCACCAGCAACUACAAAAGUUAUACACUUCUACAAAGACGACUAAGGUCUAUUAGUGUAAUCAGUCCAUUGCAUUUAUUAUCUGGUGAUUGACAUUUAAUAAGUUGAGAGAGUUUUUUGUUUGCUCAAGUUUAACCAUGGUGAUGUUUAUAGCAUUUUCAGCGGCAUUUUGUUCACGGUAUGGAAGUAUCGUUGCUGUUAGUUCUUAGCAGAUGAAGAUAUGUGACUUUGCUUUUUGACUUUUUCCUAUGCUAUUAAUUUGGUUUGUGCCUCAGGGCUGAUAAUUGAUGUUUUAUGUUUAUGUACUUCAGUAAGAAAGAUGGCUAAGGACUUCUAUAAAUAUGCAACUGAGCAUCAAGACAGUACUUACCCCCUUGCAAAGGCUGUAUGUGCUGGAUUUAAGUAAAGUGUUGAACCUCCAGUUUAUUUAAGUGGAGGUCCUUAAUGAUAAAGGCUAUGAUGAGGCCACUGCAUACUUGUGGUCUUGUAGGGUGAUUCUCUUGUAUUGGUUGCAGAGAAGUGGAGUAAUUUGCAGUGGACACUUAAUGCAGUUCCGUUGGUUAAAGCAUUGCAGCUCAUCCUAUCCUUUCUCUAAUGGGAUGUUUUCAGUAUCAUAUUUAUUGUAAAAUGAUUGUUGUUAAUUCCGUUUCCAUAUGUUAUAAACUUAUAAUGACAUGAUCAUGAUGGAUAUUAAUUGUGAGUAUGACAUCUUCAUGGACUGACAUUAUGAUGCAUACUACCUAUUUAAGAGUUAAACCUUCCGCAA